UACGGGGGGAGCAAGCGUUGUUCGGAUUUACUGGGCGUAAAGGGCGCGUAGGCGGCCAGCACAAGUCAGUUGUGAGAUCUCCGAGCUUAACUCGGAAAGGUCAACUGAUACUGUGCGGCUAGAGUGCGGAAGGGGCAACUGGAAUUCUUGGUGUAGCGGUGAAAUGCGUAGAUAUCAAGAGGAACACCUGCGGCGAAGGCGGGUUGCUGGGCCGACACGUGACGCUGAGGCGCGAAAGCUAGGGGAGCGAACGGG
rnacentral:rRNA from 1 species